GAUGAAGAACGUAGCGAAAUGCGAUAAGUAAUGUGAAUUGCAGAAUUCCGUGAAUCAUCGAAUCUUUGAACGCACAUUGCGCCCGCCAGUAUUCUGGCGGGCAUGCCUGUUCGAGCGUCAUUUCAACCCUCAAGCCCAGCUUGGUGUUGGGGAUCGGCACAGGCGCCCUCGGGCGCCCGCCGUCCCCUAAAUCUAGUGGCGGUCCCGCUGCAGCCUCCUCUGCGUAGUAGUUUUCUCCUCGCAAGGGCAGCUCGGUGGCGACCUCGCCGUAAAACCCCCAACUUCUGAAAGGUUGACCUCGAAUCAGGUAGGAAUACCCGCUGAACUUAAGCAUAUCAAUAAGCGGAGGA
rnacentral:misc_RNA from 1 species